rnacentral:rRNA from 1 species
AGCGAACGCUGGCGGCAGGCUUAACACAUGCAAGUCGAACGCCCCGCAAGGGGAGUGGCAGACGGGUGAGUAACACGUGGGAACGUACCCUUUGGUUCGGAAUAACUUGGGGAAACUCAAGCUAACACCGGAUAAGCCCUUAUGGGGAAAGGUUUACUGCCGAAGGAUCGGCCCGCGUCUGAUUAGCUAGUUGGUGAGGUAAUGGCUCACCAAGGCGACGAUCAGUAGCUGGUCUGAGAGGAUGAUCAGCCACACUGGGACUGAGACACGGCCCAGACUCCUACGGGAGGCAGCAGUGGGGAAUAUCGGACAAUGGGGGCAACCCUGAUCCAGCCAUGCCGCGUGAGUGAUGAAGGCCUUAGGGUUGUAAAGCUCUUUUACCCGGGACGAUAAUGACUGUACCGGGAGAAUAAGCCCCGGCUAACUUCGUGCCAGCCGCCGCCGUAA